AACGCUAGCUACAGGCUUAACACAUGCAAGUAGAGGGGCAGCAUGAAUAAAGUUUCGGCUUUAUUUGAUGGCGACCUGCGAAUGGGUGAGUAACACGUAUCCAACCUGCCUGUUACUGGAGGAUAGCCUCCCGAAAGGGAAAUUAACACUCCAUAUUAUAUAGAUGAGGCAUCUUGUUUAUAUGAAAGUUUCACGGUAACGGAUGGGGAUGCGUCCCAUUAGAUAGUAGGCGGGGUAACGGCCCACCUAGUCGACGAUGGGUAGGGGUUCUGAGAGGAAGGUCCCCCACAUUGGAACUGAGACACGGUUCAAACUCCUACGGGAGGCAGCAGUGAGGAAUAUUGGUCAAUGGGCGAGAGCCUGAACCAGCCAAGUAGCGUGCAGGAUGACGGCCCUAUGGGUUGUAAACUGCUUUUAUACGGGGGUAAAGUCAUCCACGUGUGGAUGUUUGCAAGUACCGUAAGAAAAAGGAUCGGCUAAUUCCGUGCCAGCAGCCGCGGUAAUACGGAAGAUCCGAGCGUUAUCCGGAUUUAUUGGGUUUAAAGGGAGCGUAGGCGGACGAGCAAGUCAGUUGUGAAAGUUUGCGGCUCAACCGUAAAAUUGCAGUUGAAACUGUUUGUCUUGAGUUCACAUAAGGAUGGUGGAAUUUGUGGUGUAGCGGUGAAAUGCAUAGAUAUCACGAAGAACUCCGAUUG
rnacentral:rRNA from 1 species